UACAUCUUCUGGCUGAUGGGGCCUGCGGGGCACAGGGACGGAGCUGCCACAUCGCUCCUGCUGGGCCAGCCUGCCACCCAGCCUCCAACCGGGCCCAGGAGCCACCCUCACCGAGCAGCUUCUUGCUGUCCAGCUUCUGCCGGUUGAGCGGGCUUGUCCCAUAGAGCAGCGUGUGGAACUCUGAGUGCACCGUCUGGAUCUCAUCCAGGGUGGCCUUGCGGCCCCGCACCCGCUGCGGGGUGGCCCGUCUCCUGCAGCCUCGACCAGAUGCUCUGGAUGCGCCAGCGUGCUCAGGGUGGACGUGCGUAUUCCCGCACACGCACUGGUGCUUCAGCAUGAACGUGUCGUACACCACGCCUGGGCACAGACUGGGUCAGUCGGGCGGCCAUCCCCAGCCACACGCCCCAGGGCUGAGCUCCCUCCCUGCCUGGCGCGCAUGCCAGGGCACAGACAGACCCUGAGCCCAGUGCGGCGGGCAGAGGGAGCCGCACUGCAGUGCCACCCUGAUCAGCCGCAGGAGCAGAGGCCGGAGCAGGCGCUCACCGGUGGUGAACAGGUGCUUGGUGGGCGGGUCUGGAGGGCUCUUCACACCCCCCUGGCGCAGCAGGUGAGGACUGGGUGCGGCCCAGGGCCUGGUGGGGCACGGCGGCCAGGCUGAGGGGUGCCUGGUACACGUGCAGGGGUGGCAGCUGCUGGGCAUCUGUGAACAGCUGGGGCGAGGGGUGGGGGUGAGGCAGGUGAUGAGGGGCAGGUGCCCCAACCCCACACUGCCCGGAGGCCCAGGCCCGCAGGGCUCCUGGGGACAGGCCCGCCGCCUGCCUGCCUGUGCACAUCCCCGGAGGGACCGUGAGUCAGCGAGCAGCUCUGAGGUAAGCAGCGGGGGCGGGGAUGAGUCAGGCCGCUGGGCCCUGCGCUGUGAAUGGAGCGCUGUAGUAGCAGCAGGCAAUGCGUACACACGGCAGCGCAGGACACUGCAGCGCACACGGCACCAGGGCCCCCAAGCUUGGCACGGGGUGGAAGGGCACCUCUGUGUAGCCAGCGCCGGGCUCCUCCAGGUCGGGCCCCUCCUCAGGGCCACUGUCGCCCGCUGGGUCCUGGGCCUGGACGCAGCCGUCCUCCCCGUCCUCCUCCGCCUCCUCCUCCUCCUCCUCCUCCUCCUCCUCCAGGUCCUCCUGGGUGCUCUCGCUCUCCGUGGAGCCCUCCCGGGGCACCGCCAGGGCCCCCUCACCCAGUAGGGCCUCCUGCUGCUCCGUGAGCUCCUCCUCGGUUUCCUCAGGGUGUGUGGUGGGCGGCCUGGGCAGCUCCCCAGUCUUAGUGAGGAUCUGGGGGCAGAAGGCAGGGGCACACACCUCUCAUCCCAGCACUAGGAGGCCGAGGCAGGAGGACCGCGGUGAGCUCCAGGCCAGCUUGGGCUACAUAGCAAGACCCUGUCUCAAAACACCAAGAAACAGAACAGGAAAGCCGCACACGCCCGGCCGCCACCGCCCGGUACCUUGCCCAGCUGCAGCUGCUGCUGCUUUUGCCUCUCCAGGAACUGCUGCUGUGUGACGAGCUGCUGCAGGGCCUGGGGGCUCUGCGGUAGCGGCGAGGACUGCGUUCGACUCAGCGGCCGGUGCCGGGGGAGCUUGCCCGCUGUUCGCAUGCUGGUGGCCACACGCUCGCCUGUCACCAGGGGUGACUGCCCGUGGAUCGGCACUGGGGAGGGGAGGCGCGUGAGCCAUCUGUGCUGCACGGGGCCUGGCACCCCAGCCCAGCCCAGCCCCGAGCCCCCCGGGUGCACACAAGGUCCUGGGCCACCACGUGCAUGGGCAGCCAGGCAGCGCUGACCAGGCCCCCAACCAGCCCGGGGCCAGGGUGGACGCCCACCCUCCCAGGACCUCGGUGAUGCCCACAGGCACCUGAGUGCUGUCCUCCUUUGAGCCACGUGAGCCACAGCUGCCGCCUGUGAGUGGCCACAGAGACCUGGGAACUCAGCCUGUCUACACUGCUCGGCGGACCCCAAAGACUCAGUGUGAAACUGGUAAAAUCCCCAGCAGUGACUACAGUCCGUACACAGAGUUAAUGUUCUUAAUAUUACUUAUGUACUUAUUUACUUCGUUGAUUUUUUUGCCAGGGUCUCGCCAUGCAGUUCAGACUGACCUUGAACUCACUACAUAGCCCAGGCUGGCCUCGAACUCUCAGUGAUCUUCCUGCCUCAGCCUCCCAAGAUCUGGGACUACAGGUGUGCACCACCACACCAGCCUGAAUACAACUUAAAUAUAUGGCAUAAAACUAAUUCCUUGC
ensembl:lncRNA